rnacentral:rRNA from 1 species
UACGAAGGGGGCUAGCGUUGCUCGGAAUCACUGGGCGUAAAGCGCACGUAGGCGGAUUGCUAAGUCAGGGGUGAAAUCCUGGAGCUCAACUCCAGAACUGCCCUUGAUACUGAAGAUCUUGAGUUCGGGAGAGGUGAGUGGAACUGCGAGUGUAGAGGUGAAAUUCGUAGAUAUUCGCAAGAACACCAGUGGCGAAGGCGGCUCACUGGCCCGAUACUGACGCUGAGGCACGAAAGCGUGGGGAGCAAACAGG